CAAACAUGGAUAUCCCAAACUUAUUCUAGCUAAAUUAACAACUUCUUCUCAUUAAGAUCCAAAUACACUUGAUAAUUGAUACCUACGUACACAAUAUAAUAAUAAUAAUAGAUCAAUUGGUGCGACUGAUACGACAGACGUAGCUAGGGGCUCCAUUAUUGCAACCGUUUUUUAUUUUCUUUCUUCUCUUUUCUGCGUACUUUUCCUGAUCAGCGUCUCCUUGCAGCUGUUUCCCUCUGAGCAUUAAAGAACACAGCUGCCACAGGCAGGCCUAGUCCAUUUUCUUCUGCAAAUUUUCUUGUGUUAAACUUAUCCCUUGAGCUUGGUGUGGACACCGUUUGCCUUCUUUCCUGCUUGAACAGAAGGAACACAAACCUAUGGAUUCCUAUGUUUGGCCUUGGCAUCUCGUAGCUCACCAUUUCUCUUCCAAAUGUGGCAUCUGUGGUGCCCGGGAUGUCUGUCACUAUCCAGUGCAAGUGCUCCCUCAGGUAUGGAUCACUGGGACCAGGUGCAUCUGGGUCUGUCAUGACCAGAGUGAAAAAGGAUCUCAUAUCACCUCCCUGGACCUCAACCUUAG
rnacentral:misc_RNA from 1 species